rnacentral:rRNA from 1 species
GACGAACGCUGGCGGCGUGCUUAACACAUGCAAGUCGAACGGAAAGGCCCUGCUUUUGUGGGGUGCUCGAGUGGCGAACGGGUGAGUAACACGUGAGUAACCUGCCCUUGACUUUGGGAUAACUUCAGGAAACUGGGGCUAAUACCGGAUAGGAGCUCCUGCUGCAUGGUGGGGGUUGGAAAGUUUCGGCGGUUGGGGAUGGACUCGCGGCUUAUCAGCUUGUUGGUGGGGUAGUGGCUUACCAAGGCUUUGACGGGUAGCCGGCCUGAGAGGGUGACCGGCCGCAUUGGGACGUAGAUCGCGCCGAGCCCCCGACGGGAGGCCGCAGGGGGGAAUAGUGAACCAUGGGCUGCAGCCUGAUGCAGCAUCGCCGCGUGCGGGAUGACGGCGUUCGGGUUGUAAACAGCGUUCGCCUGUGACGAAGGGUGAGUGACGGUAAUGGGUAAAGAAGCACCGCCUAACUACGUG